GAGAUAUUAAUGUGUGUUAUGUUUAUUGCUUACCGUAUCUUAAACUAAACAAUCAGAGGAGCUUUCCGAACUCCGUGUUCCCACCCGAAGAUUGUAUUAUGUGUUUUGGGAGUCGGAUAAGGAAGUGUCUGGGACCAGACGGAAGGAAUAUGUCAACUUGUCCUCAGUUCCGCUUAUCCUUUGUUGUGGUUUGUGUGUGUGAUAAGCUUUCAAUAAAAGGCUUGACCAAGGGGAUGCUCGGCGGAAUGUCUUGGAGGUCGUCGUGUUCAGAGCAUGUGCGACUGAGCUUCCCCUUUGGUCCAAAGCUUUGACCAAAGAUACUACGUUGUCUGUGAUUCAUUUCUCACCUCCUUGAACGUGAAUAUUUUAAAUGAUAUAGAGAGGAAAAAACCUAUCAUAAUUGGUGCCGUGACCCGGAUCCCAACAUACCCAUCGUCUGGAUUUUUCUUUUUCCUGCGGAGCCACUGACACCUGUGCAAGGUCCCGACUGAUCAUCGGAGUAAGAGACCGCUCAGCAGUGGAUAAUAAUCCGCAGCAAGGAAAUCCAGUCGUGGAUUGACGGGAUCCGGCGGAUCGGAAGACCGAGGGAGACUGACCCAGACAAAGUACGUAUGGUUUUGCCCUUUUUGCGAGAAAGAAAGGUUGACUACGGGUCGGUAAAAUAAAGAGUGCCCUUUUAUGAGGAAGAAAGGAGGAGUACGCGCUGUAAAAAAGGGUUUGCCCUUUUUGCGAAGAAAGAAAGGUUGACUAAGCGUCGUAAAAAAUAAGUGUUACGAACUAAUACGUAUAAAGUGGGAGUUUAUAUGUGUUUGUUUGUGAAAUGCAUGCUGUGGCUCUAGUGAAUCAGUGUCGGCCGAAACCUUACCGGUCAACAUAAACCGACGGCCUGUUCACGUAGACAACCACAGAUUGGCAGUUUCUGAGUUCCCCUUGUCUAGAUUAAGGUAGUAAAGGUUGAUUUGAUCCCUUUUCUGCCUGAGUUGGGAUAGUGGGGAAAAAGGAAUGCGUAUUUGUCCCUUUGUCUGAUUUGAGGUAGUAAAGGUUGAUUUGAUCCCUUUAUGCCUGAAUUGAGAUAGUGGGGGUUUAUGUUUGUUGGUUCAUAUUUGUUUGUUUAUAUUUGUUUGUGGAUAAAUGCUGUGGCUCUAUUGAAUCAGCGUCGGCCGAACCCUUCCAGGCCAACAUAAACCGACGGCCUGUUCAAUUAGACAACCACAGAUCUAAUACUAUACGAUCACACCAUUAAACAAUGGACAAUUCUCACGGAAAGCCUGAAGGCGAAUUUUCAGGCGACACAUUGUUUAUGUUCAAACAGGAUUCAGAUAGUGUGCAAUAUCUGAAAAAAUGGAAAACAAAAUACGGCUUUUCCGGCGAACUAAACGUUUUUGAGAUAGAAACAAUCUGUAAAAAUCUAAAAACCAUCGCCAUAGAAAACAAAAACCCCAGACUCAGCGAAUCAAAACACCACGAACUAGAACAAGCAGAACAGUGGUUCCGAGCAGCAAAAGAGAGGGCACAAGCCCAAGUAAAAGACAAAUUAAGGGCCGUAGAAAGCACGCGCGGGAAAAAUAGUUCACAGGCCCGGUACACAAAAACCGAUUUUGGACUGACUGCAUACCAGGGGAGGGAAACCACAAGGGGAGGGUACCGGAGAGGCCGAGGAAGAGGCCGGGGACAGACUGAAGGGAGGAGUAGAGGACGAAAUGACGAAUGUUGGACCUGCGGAGAGGUUGGACAUUGGUCACAUGACUGCCCCAACCCUAAGUGGGGGCGGAAACCUCGUAGAGAACGAGACUGACUACGAGGAGACUAACAAACAGAAAGAUGAAAUAACACCACCAUAUGUUAAAGCUGUGAAAAUGUGUGUUUUUCUUUAAAUCCCAGCUGUGCUUGAUGAACUGUGUGCUUGUUGAAAUGAAGUUGUCGUGAGUUAUGGCCAUUAACUCACGUUAAGCCUGACUUGGAUAUGUUGCUUUCACGUGUUAUAGCUUGAUAGAUAAAUAACUAAAUAUAUGACUUUAUGGGACCCCGAACUUAGAGUAGUGACCUGGUUUAAGAUAAAGACUAAAGACGUUUCACAGACCCCUGCCGAGGGUCUGCGGCGGUUUGGCGGUUGACAACAAGAGGAUCCUCAUAAACAACAGAUGGUGCAUGACUGUGUAAAGAUUGCUGAUACUAUCACUUGGCCGAGAGUUGACCUGAAAGAUAUCACACUACCCGAAGGAGGUGUGGUAUGUUGGUGGGUCAGCCCAGAAGGCUGCAUGUGAAAAAAAGAAAACCAAGAACUCUAUUCAAGGCCGUUGCGAUUUUGAGUCAUGGGCAAUGCCAUGUCUCAACAGGAGGGAUGGUAUCAUAGGUAUCUAUGAUAGAACAAAACUACUUAAAAAAAAAAAAUAUUUUUUGUAAAGCAUGUGUGACAUGCAUCAAGCACAACCCUAAAGGAAACCUAAUCAUUCAUAGACGACCCUACCGCCUACCACUACGCCUACCACUAACUCACCCAGACUUAGAGCAAGUGGGUGAGAAAGAAACAAUAGUGGAGUACAUGAACAAGACCAUGAUGGGGAGAGGAGUCAGGGAAGCAAAUGUCUUGCCAGAUUCACCUGUCUCGCCCAUUAUGUCUGUACAGGUCGGUGACGGGGUCUUCACCCGCGUCAUCAAGAAAAAGACGCGGAGCAACGCUCGCUGGGAGGGACCAUUCCAAGUCCUUCUGACGACUGCAACCGCUGUAAAGAAAGCCGAGAGGACCACUUGGAUACAUCUUUCCCAUUGCAAACUGUUCCCUACAGAAAUCCCGGACCAGUGCCCUGAUCCCGAGACGACCACGAGCAGAGGGGAAGACUGACUUCAAAGGGGGCUGUCCGCUUAAAAGACAGCCAUCUCAACGUCAGUGAAGAAACCAACGAUCCCUGCUUUUAGGUGUCGGCUCGGGUGAUGAAGCGAGAGGUCCCGAGGAACUCAAACGAGAGGAGCAAGGGAGAUCAAUGCUCCCGUUUAAGAAAAUAUAACGUAAACUUUUGAUUUAAUCUUGUAUGCCAUAAUUGUGUAAACUCCUCACAAGGAACGGACAAUUAUUGAUGUGAAACUGCUGACUAAAAAGUUUUAAUUCCCAAAGUCAUUUGUGUGGUGUUAAUAACAAAUUAUGUGUAAUAAUCAUGAUUCUGCUUGGACUGCUUAACCCAAAUACGUAAAUCACAUGCUGCAUAGAAAUUAGACAAAUAAAAUGAGGGCCACCAUGCCCAUGUUUAAAUAAUAAUGCCCAUGUUUAGAUAAUAAGCAAUUAGCAUAAACAGGAGGGAACUGACAGAGAUAUUAAUGUGUGUUAUGUUUAUUGCUUACCGUAUCUUAAACUAAACAAUCAGAGGAGCUUUCCGAACUCCGUGUUCCCACCCGAAGAUUGUAUUAUGUGUUUUGGGAGUCGGAUAAGGAAGUGUCUGGGACCAGACGGAAGGAAUAUGUCAACUUGUCCUCAGUUCCGCUUAUCCUUUGUUGUGGUUUGUGUGUGUGAUAAGCUUUCAAUAAAAGGCUUGACCAAGGGGAUGCUCGGCGGAAUGUCUUGGAGGUCGUCGUGUUCAGAGCAUGUGCGACUGAGCUUCCCCUUUGGUCCAAAGCUUUGACCAAAGAUA